rnacentral:rRNA from 1 species
AUGGCGACAGCUUUGCGGCCUUCUUCUCUUUGUAGUUUCCUUUCAUGUUUUAUCUAUGUACAAAGUCUACUCUUACAUGACGACUGCUUGUGGUUUGCCUCUCACUGCUUUCUUUCUUUCUUUCUUUCUUUCAGAUUCAGAUUCAGAUUCAGAUGGAUGAAUCUGCUACCAAAAUUCAUCAGCUGCAGCCUGCAGCAGGACAAGAUUAAUUAUAUAUAUUGGCGACUUUUUAAAGGAUUAAUUGGUAACGAGCAUUUCUAUCGAGGAGAGCAUAACAUCCAGGACAGAAUCUGCGUUUCCAUUUUGAAAAAUAAGAAUCAAGGAAGGUACACUCGAAAUCUUGUUACUGUAUUUACGCUCUUUGUAUGUAUGGUUAUCUGCACCUGUUCUGAAUAUAUAUAUGAUUUCCUCUUGCAACUUCAGUCAUGCCUUUCCAUGUUCGUUGAUGCACAGAUUGGGCUCACUUUAGCUCACAACUAG